GCAGGGGCGGGCUCCGAUCGCGGGCCGGGCGCCUGCGCACUGCUGCUCCCGCUGUUGCUGCGGAGCAAGGACGGGAAGCGAUGGCUGGGCCCGCGUGGAUCUCCAAGGUCUCUCGGCUGCUGGGGGCAUUCCACAACCCAAAACAGGUGACCAGAGGUUUUGCUGGUGGUGUGAGUAUAAUUAUGUUUUUUAUUUUUUCCUUUUAGAAGUUUCUCAAGAAAGAUGCUCUAAUAUAUUUAUUAUAUAGCCUUUUAUCUCCAUUCAUUUAAAAUUAGGGAAAGUUGGCCGUAUUUAUAAUGUAUGUUGAAAUUAUUGGCUGACACGCACGAAUCUAUUAGGUCACUUGCACAUUUGAAGGAAUUAUCUUCCGGCUGGCUAUGUAAGUUUGUCACAUUAAUAUCUUGAAGGAGCCUUGUUAAAAAUAGAUAGUAAGUGCCCUUGAGCCUGUUAUUUUAUUUCACAAUCUCAUUUUGGUGACACCGUCUUUUUCAAAACUAGUACAAGUUAAGAGAAAAUUGUUGAGAAGCUUCAAAACCUGCUUUGCAUUUUUAUUUUAUGAGCUUCCCUAAAACCAGUAGAUUUGAGUGCAAGUUAGGAACGCCUCAAUUAUCUAUGAGCCCUGUAGGCUUCUGCUUUCCUCAUAUAGUUUUUGUAGACUAUCACAGUAGUAGAUCAUCUAUUGUUCAUUAAAUCUGCUGCUUUUAGAGUUCCCAGCAUUAGAGUUUUGUGCUUUAAAAGCUGACCACAUUUUUGGAACAUUCUGAGACUGUGAGUCAGUGACUUCCUAUUUUUGUUUUUAUUCCCUCCCCCUUUUUACAGAAUCUGAUUUGAAUUUCAUAAUUCCUAUACUCCCAUAUAACAUCUAUGCCAUGAAAGAUUUACAAGACUGUAGUACAUUUUUUCCUCUACUUACUUUCUGUAUUGUGGAAGAAAAGUAGAUUUUCCGGUGACUUGAUGACAUUUAUUACUACAUGUUGGGAGAACAGGAAGAAGUAGCCAAAGAGUUCUUUUGGUUCUGCUUAUGCCAAAAAUGCAGGCUGGGACUUGCACUUCAAGCUCAAGGACAGCCAUGCUAGCAUUUCAAACACGUUCUGGAAGCUAAUGAGAUGAUCACUGCUCUCUGCUAUUAUUUAGUUUUCAGGCUAUUUAUUUGAAAAAAAAAAUUCAUCUGAUGGAGGUUAUUUUUGAAGAAAUAAGAGGAUAUAUUAAUUAAAAAAAAAAAUUUCUUCAACCCAGGAAAACUGGUAUGAGUCUUAGCCCUGGCUAAGACUGAGGUGGGAGACUUGCUUGAGGCCAGGAGUUCGAGGCUGCAGUGAGCUGUGGUGACACUUGUGAGUAGCCACUACACUCCUGCCUGGGAAAAUAACGAGUCCUCAUCUCUAAAAAAUAAAAACAGAAAAUUUAAAAAAUGAGAAAAAAAAAAAAAAAAAAACUAUUUCUUCAGUUGUACAGAAAAAAAAUCAGAAAUAAUUAGUCCAUCUAUCUGGGGAGACCUGAUUGUGAAGCAAAGGACCAACAAAACUUAAAUUAGUGAUUUUUAAAAAAUGCAAUUCCACCAACUGGAAUUGAAAAAAAGCCAAGCCCCUAGGAGGCGUAAAGUCCCAAGAUAAUAAAAUAUGUGGUUCCCAAAUGGAAAAAGUGGUACCGAUCUUCUCCCCUUACGUAUUUUUAUUUCUGCGUUUGAAAUGCUGGCUUCAUUUUGCCUGAAGUCUUAGAAUAAAUCAUUGUUGUUACAUUAUAAAAACACGAAUUUGUUGUUCUAAGUGUAACUCAGGCUUUGCAGGUAUGAUCACGUUUACUCUUUGGUGGCAGAUCAACUUUGCAAGCUUAUGUAGAUUGAUUACUCUUAGAUUUAAGCAGCCAGUUUGUGUGUGUGUGUGUGUGUGUGUGUACACAUUUACUUUUAUUGUAACAAAGCAACUUGUACACUUUUAAUGCUUAAAACUGAGCAUCAUCUUUCCUUUCCAGUGAAACAAAAAGAAACAUUUUUAAGAAGCAGGAACAAAAUUGCAAUAGAGAGUGUCAAUUCCAAAUAAGAUCCUACAGGUUCUGCUGAUUCUCACAGUGAAUGGCAGGGCUCAAGUCGUCAUUAGGAUAUAAUUUAUUUUAAAAGUGUCAUCUUAAACUGUAAGAAUGUCUGUCAAAUAUCACAAACAUGCCAAAGGAGAAGCCAUGUUAUCAUAAUGCCCACUUAACCCACCCAAACAUCUCAGACCCACCCUUUCCUGACCUUCUAUAAUCCCAUUUUUAAAAGUUUUUUUUUUUUUUUUUCUUUUUUUAAACAAGAAAAAGUAGACAGAUGCAUGUUGGUAAAUGCUGUCCAUAUUCACAUAGAGACACAGUGUACUCUCUGAGCCCAAUAUAGAGAGGAAGGAGGAAAAAGGCUAGAAUUCUAUGCACUACUACACAGGGGCCUAGCACCCUCCAGCUUCCAGCAGAGUGAAGGGAACAGGUUUUUCCUUUUUCCCCGCAGAGCUCGGUGUUAUUGAUCCCAUACAGUUUUGUUCAGACAGGAAGGGAUAAAAAUGAAUUUUGAACAGAAGAGGGUAGAGACUCUCUUCCCAUUGUAUUCAAGCAGCCAGUUUUAUAGACGAACUAAGAAAAAAUGGAAGCUGUCUCUUGAUAGAAAGUCUUAUUUCCCCUGAGUACAUAAAUAGACCUCAGUAGUAUUUUGGAAGUAUGUCUGAAAGUUUUUUUGCAAGACUGAAGAAGCUGCAUAAGAAGCUUUCCAGGAUCACAAUGGAAAGGAAAGGAAAACACUUGGCUUCAUGAGAAACAUUAAAUUUUAGGGAGAGACCAUUGUUAAUUUUUUUUUUUUUUUUUGCUUUCUUUGGUUUUAAAGGUUUGAAUUAAUUGGUCUCUUUGCAGCUUGUCUGAAAAGAAAUAUCAAUUAGGAAAUCUAUUUGGGCCGGGCGCAGU